rnacentral:lncRNA from 1 species
AGCAAGACAUGAGGUUAAUAAUUAUCAAAUAUAUGGCAAUGCUAGACUUUAGUUGAUCAUCGUGCUUCUGGAAAAUAACAAAAGUUGAGAUAUCUGUUCACCAUUUUGUGUGUCCAAGGACCACCUACUUUUUACAUAUGACAAGAACUACCCACCUCCACUCUUCAGGACAGAACAUGCUGGAGAAAAGAGUUACAAUGAGAAAAUAUAUGGGAACAAAAUACCUAUGCAAUGCAGAAGUCUGCAUAACUAAACCACUCAGAGGAAAAAAUUUCCCUCCCAGGCUGGAGUACAAUGGCGCAAUCUCAGCUCACGUCAACUUCUACCUCCCAGGUUCAAGCAAUUCUCCCACUUCAGCCUCCUUAGUAGCUGGGAUGACAGGCGCCUGCCACCAGUCCCAGCUAUUUUUGUAUUUUUAGUAGAGAUGGGGUUUCACCAUGUUGGCCAGGCUGGUCUCAAACUCCUGACCUCAGUCCAUCCGUCCACCUCGGCCUCCCAAAGUGCCAGGAUUGCAGGCAUGAGCCACCACGCCUGGCCUCAAGUUUAAUUCUUAAGUGAGUCAAUCAGUUAUAGUUCUGCUCAAAGCUUUGAGUGCACCUAAAAUUUCAUCCAACGUCUAUUAUCUUUCAUCAUAUGCUAAAACAGCUUGAAGAUGUAUAUGAUUUUAUAAAAAAUAAUCUAUAAAGCAAAACAACAAAAUUAAGGGUUUACAUUUUAAAGCACCAAUAUUCACCUAUAGUUGAUGAAUGUACAGUUAGAAUGAAAAACAAUAGAAUUUUGGUGAAUUCUGAAAUGGUUCCACCCUAUCCAAACAAGCUGUAUUAAUGCAUUAUACAUUUCUUAAUAGAUAAAGUACUCGAAUUGCUACAAAUACAAAAGCUUACAAGUUUCC